rnacentral:lncRNA from 1 species
GUAACUACUCCUGACAGUAAUUAUAAUCGAUUACUUUCAUCAUCAAAUUACCAUCUGUUCAAUGAAAACAACGUUUUUAGAAUAUAGCGCGCCAAAGACAUUGAAAAGCCCUAGAGAAUGAAUCAACGAAGCCAACAAAAGUCUCAAGUUAAAUUACAUAUUUAGGGUUCGCGUGUGGAUGAUUACAAGAGUACUAUGGAGGCUGCAAGAAGUUCAAAUUUAAGGCAGGGCAGAUAGCCACUUCUAGGUUUGAAGAAUUGUUGUUGGAUUGUAUGGUGAAGUUGUACCAAAAGGUGCAGGCAACGAUUAGGGCUUCGGUAAGCAAAGUAUGGCCGGUCACGAGUCGAAUGGAUAUUCUUAAUUGCACACCUUGAAAAUGAACAUCACCAUCAUUCAUCCUGAUGUUGGAAUCGUGUCCUAGGUUGAUCUCUGCAGUUUGCCAAGGGAAGCGUUCUAAUUUUAAAGUGGAAUUACAUGAAAUUUGAUCCCAUGCUGUAAAUCGCUGUUUUGAGGAUGCACAUGCAG